rnacentral:tRNA from 2 species
GCGCCAGUAGCUCAGCUGGAUAGAGCAACGGACUUCUAAUCCGUAGGCCGGGGGUUCGAAUCCUCCCUGGCGCGCCA